CUGUGUGGCGCUUUCAGUCUUCAGUUCCUCCCAGCCCAUGACGAUAAACGCAAACGAGUUGAGGCGAGUUGAAGACUUUAAGCGCUGUGCAGAUUCA
rnacentral:pre_miRNA from 1 species